rnacentral:misc_RNA from 1 species
AUCUCUCUUCUCAAUCGGACCGGUCAUGCACGGUUCAGACGCGGACCGGUUCAACCUUCCUCUUCUUCCUCACUUCCCUUGUCAUCGCCACCAACUGGUUUUGGUUCUGCCUCUCGCUCCCAAACUUUAAACCAAACUCCGAAUCACGUCGCAGCUCCGGCUACUGUACAUCAGCCUGCUGUUAUCCAUACGGUGAUAGCUCCUCAGGUUCCGAUCGCGACUCCGGCGAGCUUUGUUCAGACACAGCCCCAAAGUUUGACUCUUGACUUCACAAAACCUAGCAUAUUUAGCUC